UCUGUUGGUCUCCCUUAAAAUAGCACGCGACAGGCACGCGCAGCUCACGUCGGCGUCGAUCUUGCCGGCCUAGCUCGAGUUGACAAAAAGGCGAGGCCGGGAUAACCGGAGACGGUGGAUGAGCCGAGGCUUGAGGCCCUGAUGGAGAGCUAGAGGAGGCGGGCGAAGAGCUCCCCUUGCCUGCAGGAUCCAAUCCGGCUUACCCGAUCUGACUCUCCCACAAGGUCCUCAAACACGAUCGUAGCAGAUCCAGGCCAAGCUGAUGGCUGACGAUAGCAUUCAUCAAGCAUUCAUAGAGGAUCCUCCUAAUGUGCCAAAAGAGAAGCCAUCUGAAGGAGCUAAACGGUUUCGACGAUGCAGGUCAACUCCCGCAGAUCCCACUGAUCAAAAACCCUCAGAGCGCGGUUCUGCACUUCAAGCCAAGGAAUUAUUCAAGGAUAUACGGCCAAGCUUCAGGCUUGUAGGACUCCUCCUAUUUAUCUACCUGCUAUUGGGUGUCAUCAUCUUUUACCUUUUCAUGGAUCAGAUAUCUGGGAAGAGAACUAAUAGAGUGCUUGAUGCCAUGUACUUUGUUAUUGUCACAAUGACCUCAGUUGGCUAUGGGGAUCUUGUCCCAAAAAGUGACACGACAAAGCUGCUUGCUUGUGCUUUCGUCUUCACAGGCAUGGCGGUAAUUGCUCUCUUCAUCAGCAAAGCUGCAGAUUAUCUUGUUGAGAAACAGGAAGUGUUGUUCUUCAAAGCAAUGCACAUGAAUAUGAAGGGUGGUGAGGCCAAAAUGCUAAGAGCAAUGGAGACAAAUCGGAUAAAGUACAAAUUCUACACUGUCGCUCUACUUCUUGUGAUGAUUAUUGUCACUGGGACUCUAUUUCUGUGGAAGGUUGAGAAGCUGAGCUUUGUUGAUUCCUUCUACUGCGUAUGUGCCACGAUCACUACCCUGGGUUAUGGGGAUAAAAGCUUCUCGUCCAAAUUGGGGCGUGUUUUUGCGAUAUUUUGGAUAAUCAUGAGCACUAUCCUCAUGGCUCAGUUCUUCCUGUACCUUGCUGAGCUCUAUACCGAGCGACGGCAGAAAAUGCUCGCCAAAUGGGUGCUUAACAGGAGGAUAACAACCAUGGACCUUGAGGCAGCGGAUCUGGAUGGCGACCGUCAAGUUGGUGCUGCUGAAUUUGUACUUUACAAGCUAAAAGAGCUGGGCAAGAUCAGCCAAGAGGAGAUAUCUUCUUUCCUGGAGGAGUUUGACAAACUCGAUGUCGACCAGUCUGGCACAAUCUCAACGUACGACCUUACUCUGGCACAACAAAUCAGUCUAUAACUGCUAAGAAAAACAGGCUUCACAAGUUGGCAUUUGACAUACAACAACAAAGGAACAUCUUCCUAUAAAAAGAUUACAUAAGGCAUUUGUAUCACUCCAGAUUGUUCACCUUCAGGUGACAAGUGAAGGAGGCAACAGUCUGGAAGGCAAAAAUCCUCAAAGUCGGAUGUGAAAACCCCAAGCCACCGUAUAUCAGAACUUGUCAUUGGCCAAACGCUGGAACACUGCAAAGGGACUACUGAAGCAUACUGUACGAAGAGUGGAAACUAUUAAAUGCAGAUAGAAAAUUUGAAGCUCAUACCUGUCUCCUUCUCAACUACAAGUAUGUAGUGAGCAACACUAACAACAUCUGCAAGAGGAAAAAGAAGGAAAAAGACAACUUCAGUUUACUGCAAUGUACUUCAGGUAAGGGGAAAUCGAAGUUCGUGUAACACGAAAGGAAGCCUGUAUAUAGUUACUUGGAA